UACGUAGGGUGCAAGCGUUGUCCGGAAUUAUUGGGCGUAAAGAGCUCGUAGGCGGUUUGUCGCGUCGGCUGUGAAAACCUGGGGCUCAACCCCGGGCCUGCAGCCGAUACGGGCAAACUAGAAUUCGGUAGGGGAGACUGGAAUUCCUGGUGUAGCGGUGAAAUGCGCAGAUAUCAGGAGGAACACCGGUGGCGAAGGCGGGUCUCUGGGCCGAUAUUGACGCUGAGGAGCGAAAGCAUGGGUAGCGAACAGG
rnacentral:rRNA from 1 species